rnacentral:rRNA from 1 species
UGUGAACGCUGGCGGCGUGCCUAAUACAUGCAAGUCGAACGAAGUGGAGCACGGGUGAGUAAUAUAUAGUUAAUCUGCCCUACACAAAGGAACAACAGUUGGAAACGACUGAUAAUACCACAUAGUGUAGGAUGAGACUAUAUCGUAUCAUCUAGUUGGUAAGGUAAUGGCUUACCAAGGCUAUGACGCGUAACUGGUCUGAGAGGAUGAGCAGUCACAUUGGAACUGAGACACGGGCCAAACUCCUACGGGAGGCAGCAGUAAGGAAUAUUGCGCAAUGGGGGAAACCCUGACGCAGCAACGCCGCGUGGAGGAUGACACUUUUCGGAGCGUAAACUCCUUUUAUCAGGAAAGCUGUACCUGAUGAAUAAGCACCGGCUAACUCCGUGCCAGCAGCCGCGGUAAGAC